rnacentral:rRNA from 1 species
UUAAAUUGAAGAGUUUGAUCAUGGCUCAGAUUGAACGCUGGCGGCAGGCCUAACACAUGCAAGUCGAACGGUAACAGGAAGAAGCUUGCUUCUUUGCUGACGAGUGGCGGACGGGUGAGUAAUGUCUGGGAAACUGCCUGAUGGAGGGGGAUAACUACUGGAAACGGUAGCUA